rnacentral:lncRNA from 1 species
UUAUAUCUAUAUCCUCCUCCUGUAAUCAAGAGAUAUGCCAACCAGAUAUCUUUCUCUUGUUAGACAGAUCGUUUUGUGGGUUGUCCUGAGCUACAGACCCGACCUUUGUGGGGCACAUGGACCCAGCAGGUCAGUGCUGUAGGCUGAUGAUGCUUCCUGAGCCUAUCACCUGUUGUGCAUCUCUAACCAGUUUGCUUUGUGGAAAUGAAUACAUUAUGAUGGGCACGAGCCAGAAGGAUCCUGCCUGGGUUUAGCUCUGCUGAGGCCAGAGUGCUGCAAGGAUGGGGUAGGUCCACGGUUUCUUGUAUGUGAGUGAUGCUAAUUAACAUCUGGGGAAUAACAGAAUUGUAGGGGUUGGUUUGUUUUUAACACUUGCUGUUCUGUAUGAGUAGAGAUCAUGUGGGGAAAGAAUAAGUUUGCUUUUUAUUUAUUUAUUUAAAGAUAGGCAGGCAUCAAAACCCCAUUCUCCUCUUUAAUCUCUUCAAGCUGAAGGUGCUUAGAACUUGUUGCACAGACUCAUCCACUGGCAGCUUAAUUAACUAAUGGUCCCAGAAAGCACUUAAGAG